rfam:Schistosoma margrebowiei strain Zambia genome assembly, scaffold: SMRZ_contig0003698
UGCUGAGGAGUCCCAUACUAGGACGAAACGGCCGUCCAGUGC